rnacentral:lncRNA from 1 species
CGACCUAGGACAAAUCUUGGGAGCAUCAAUCCAGGUUUGUGGCACUCAAUCCAAUCAAUCAAAUCCUGGAAAUGAGCUUCAUUAGUUACCUUGGAUAUAGCCCUAUGAACAUUGUUGGCAAUUGCCGAUAUGGAGCCCUGCUUUAUUUCUACAAUGCUUGCCUCUUCAAUAGCCACAGAUAAUACGUUACCAAUGUAAUUUGACAUGGAGCUAUGACUUAGUCUACCACGUCCAUCAACUAACCAACCCAUCUUGCAGUUAGCGUGGCUUUCAUCAAUGCUUGUUGCCAUAAUCUUCCAAACAUAGGCAGAGAAAGCCUCGAUUUUCGUUCUCUUGUUACUGUCGGCAGAUGCAAGAGUUUGCAGGUGAUUGAUGCUCGAGGCGUCAACAAAGUAAAGGCGCUUGAGCAAGAUGCCGGUUUUAGGUAUGUUUCUAAUAUCUUCAAGCGUGCACUUGACAAAAACAUGAUUGAAAUAAGGGUGAUACGUAGGAGGGAGGCGCGGUGGAAGACUUCUCCCGAGAUCAAGAUCCGGUAAGCAAGAGAGAGGCAUGUCACGAGCUAGUUGGGACCACGAGGAGAGAAAGUUGCCAAAAGCAGUGGCAUCACCUAGAGCAUGGUCGAAG